UACGUAGGUGGCAAGCGUUGUCCGGAUUUAUUGGGUUUAAAGGGUGCGUAGGCGGCUUUGUAAGUCAGUGGUGAAAUAUGGCAGCUCAACUGUCAGGGUGCCAUUGAUACUGCAGAGCUUGAGUACAGAUGAGGUAGGCGGAAUUGACGGUGUAGCGGUGAAAUGCUUAGAUAUCGUCAAGAACACCGAUAGCGAAGGCAGUUUACUAGGCUGUAACUGACGCUGAGGCACGAAAGUGUGGGGAUCAAACAGG
rnacentral:rRNA from 1 species